rnacentral:rRNA from 1 species
CGGACGGGUGAGUAACGCGUGGGUAACCGUUCCUUCGUACUGGGGGACGAAAGUUAGAAAUGACUGCUAAUACCGCAUAAGCGCACAGUAUCGCGAUGAUACAGUGUGAAAAACUCCGGUGGUACAAGAUGGACCCGCGUCUGAUUAGCUAGUUGGUAAGGUAACGGCUUACCAAGGCGACGAUCAGUAGCCGACCUGAGAGGGUGACCGGCCACAUUGGGACUGAGACACGGCCCAA